UAGUUCUUCAUCAUUUUUACUCGCUUCAGUUGGCUUAAAUGUCAUAUUUUGCUUAUUCCUUUAUUUAAGAAAGAAUUACACUUUUAUUUAGUGCUACAAUUUAAUUUUAUUCUCCACCUCAUUCUUAUUUGUGCUGGUUUGAAAUUUAAGGAUGAAAAACUGAACAAGCUGGCGUUUAACGAUUGGAGAAUAAAAGAAAUGAAAUAGAUAUGAGCCUUAAUGUUUUGGCAUCUUCAGAUACCUAAAAAUGUUUUUGUUUUUUUUUUAACAUUUUUAUUACUAUUUAAAUAGACAAUCUUCACAAAUUUAAA